rnacentral:rRNA from 1 species
ACCCGACUGCUAUCGGAUUGAGAUUUAGCCAUGCGAGUCGAACGUUCCCCUGUUGCGGGGAGCGUGGCGUACGGCUCAGUAACACGUAGUCAACCUGCCCUAGAGACAUGGACAACCCCGGGAAACUGGGAUUAAUCCGUGAUAGGUCAUCUCAUCUGGAAGGAGAGAUGGCUUAAAGGGGUGCGAGAGCUUCUUUCUUGUAGUCGCUCUAGGAUGGGACUGCGGCCGAUCAGGCUGUUGGUGGGGUAAUGGCCCACCAAACCUGUAACCGGUACGGGCCUUGAGAGAGGGGGCCCGGAGAUGGACACUGAGAGAAGGGUCCAGGUCCUACGGGGCGCAGCAGGCGCGAAACCUUCACAAUGCGCGAAAGCGUGAUGAGGUUAAUCCGAGUGGUCCCCGCUGAGGGGAUCUUUUGUUGGCUCUAAAACGGCCAGUGAAUAAGGGGAGGGCAAGUCUGGUGUCAGCCGCCGCGGUAAUACCAGCUCCUCGAGUGGUCGGGGCGAUUAUUGGGCCUAAAGCAUCCGUAGCCUGUUCUGUAGGUCCGCUGUUAAAUCCAACGGCUUAACCGUUGGCCUGCAGCGGAUACCGCAGGACUAGGAGGCGGGAGAGGUGGACGGUACUCCACGUGUAGGGGUAAAAUCCUUUGAUCCGUGGAAGACCACCAGUGGCGAAGGCGGUCCACCAGAACGCGCUCGACGGUGAGGGAUGAAAGCUGGGGGAGCGAACCGGGUUAGAUACCCGGGUAGUCCCAGCCGUAAACGAUGCUAGCUAGAUGAUUCAUUCGCAAGUCGCGAAUGAAGUGUCGCAGGGAAGCCGUUAAGCUAGCCGCCUGGGGAGUACGGUCGCAAGACUGAAACUUAA